AUUCUSGAUGGUAGUGUAUUGGACUACCAUGGCAAUGACGGGUGACGGAGAAUUAGGGUUCGAUUCCGGAGAGGGAGCCUGAGAAACGGCUACCACAUCUAAGGAAGGCAGCAGGCGCGCAAAUUACCCAAUCCUAACUCAGGGAGGUAGUGACAAGAAAUAACAAYGCGGGGCUAUGUCUCGCRAUUGGAAUGAGAACAAUGUAAAAGCCUUAACGAGGAUCCACUGGAGGGCAAGUCUGGUGCCAGCAGCCGCGGUAAUACCAGCUCCAGUAGCGUAUAUUAAAGUUGUUGCAGUUAAAAAGCUCGUAGUUGAAAUUCUGUACGGAACGACGUCUUCGGAUGAUCGAGCCGUGCAUCCGCCUGAGCAGCAUGCUGGUACUUUGUUGCCGGUAUGUGAUCAGGCACUUUACCUUGAGCAAAUUAGAGUGUUCCAGGCAGGCGUCAGCCUGAAUAGUCCAGCAUGGAAUAAUAGAAGAGGACUGAAAACCACUGUUGGUGUUGUGGUAAUCAGUAAUGAUUAAUAGGGAUAGUUGGGGGCAUUCGUAUUUAAUUGUCAGAGGUGAAAUUCUAUGAUUUAUUAAAGACGAACCUAUGCGAAAGCAUUUGCCAAGGAUGUUUUCAUUAAUCAAGAACGAAAGUUAAGGGAUCAAAGACGAUCAGAUACCGUC
rnacentral:rRNA from 1 species